rnacentral:lncRNA from 1 species
CAGGAACUAGUAUUUCUGUAGCUGGCCUUGAUAUCUGCUCACUGCACAUUGGUCUUAAGUAUAGAAACACUGAGAAUCACCUCAGGAACUGAAGUGUGAUGGAAAAUAUCAUCCUGUCCAAAUGCUGGUAAAUUGUUUAAAAUAGCUUAACUAGGUAAUGAAAGGUGUUCUCUGUUGUAAGAGACUAUUCUUUUAUAUGAUUGACUCAAAGUUUGCUGAGGAACGAGUCCAGGCAAGUCCUGGGCAAAGGUAGAGAAAUGUUUUGUCUUGAGGACACUGAUGGACAGGUCCUGGCUAAGGAUUGUGAAAUCCUCUAAGGAGCACAGAUGGACAAGGCCAGGGGCAUCGAGAGAGAGAUAAGCUGCUGCUAAUGGCCGGGAAGCGGUCUUUUUGUGUGGACUUAUCUCAAGGAAAAUGGCCAUCUCAGGAGGUAUGCACAGGACUCUUGCUCAAGCCCCCAGGAAUGUCACGUAGGCAGCAGAAAAUGGAGGA